AUUGAACGCUGGCGGAAUGCUUUACACAUGCAAGUCGAACGGUAGAGGGGGCAACCCCUCGAGAGUGGCGAACGGGUGAGUAAUAUAUCGGAACGUGCCCAGUCGUGGGGGAUAACGUAGCGAAAGUUACGCUAAUACCGCAUACGAUCUAAGGAUGAAAGCGGGGGAUCGCAAGACCUCGCGCGAUUGGAGCGGCCGAUAUCAGAUUAGGUAGUUGGUGGGGUAAAGGCUCACCAAGCCAACGAUCUGUAGCUGGUCUGAGAGGGCGACCAGCCACACUGGAACUGGGACACGGUCCAGACUCCUACGGGAGGCAGCAGUGGGGAAUUUUGGACAAUGGACGUAAGCCUGAUCCAGCCAUUCCGCGUGCAGGAUGAAGGCCCUCGGGUUGUAAACUGCUUUUGUACGGAACGAAAAGGUCUCUCUUAAUACGGGGGGCUCAUGACGGUACCGUAAGAAUAAGCACCGGCUAACUACGUGCCAGCCGCCGCAGUAA
rnacentral:rRNA from 1 species